rnacentral:rRNA from 1 species
AGCGAACGCUGGCGGCAGGCCUAACACAUGCAAGUCGAACGAACUCUUCGGAGUUAGUGGCGGACAGGUGAGUAACACGUGGGAACGUGCCUUUAGGUUCGGAAUAACUCAGGGAAACUUGUGCUAAUACCGAAUGUGCCCUUCGGGGGAAAGAUUUAUCGCCUUUAGAGCGGCCCGCGUCUGAUUAGCUAGUUGGUGAGGUAACGGCUCACCAAGGCGACGAUCAGUAGCUGGUCUGAGAGGAUGGCCAGCCACACUGGGACUGAGACACGGCCCAGACUCCUACGGGAGGCAGCAGUGGGGAAUCUUGCGCAAUGGGCGAAAGCCUGACGCAGCCAUGCCGCGUGAAUGAUGAAGGUCUUAGGAUUGUAAAAUUCUUUCACCGGGGACGAUAAUGACGGUACCCGGAGAAGAAGCCCCGGCUAACUUCGUGCCAGCAGCCGCGGUAA